rnacentral:tRNA from 1 species
GCUCAUGUAGCUUAAGCCAAAGCAUGACGCUGAAGAUGUCAAGAUAGGAAUCAACCCCUCAUAAGCA